CUUCAGAUUAGGUGUUCCUUUGAGAAAGCAAGCUAUAGCAGGCACCAAAUCAUCAUUUAAAUUGAUGGUAUCUACUAAUAAGCAGCUCAAAUUACAGAAGAGAGAUGGUAGGCAACCCUGCUUAAACAAAAUCUUAUUACAUUCGUAGGCUAAAAUUAGAGUUCUACUCGUGCAUAUGCUGUGAAGUAGUCUUGUCAAGUUCUGAUCAAUAGAAAUAUCAUGCCCAUCUAAUGAAGGAUCCAGCGUUAGAUUGAUUGCACUGCGCUGUAUAUGCUUAGAGUUUUCCAAGCAAUAAAAAUCCACAAGAUAUCCAUCCCACUUCAGAUAAACAAGUUUUGGUGCAAAGAUUUUCAAUGACUUGCCGUUAAAACAACGAGAUUCCCAACCCAAGAUAAAGUCAUUGAGCAUUUCUGCUGAUAUGCUAAUAUUGCAGAGACUACUAGAGAAAUAAGCUUUAAUGGUCAAAAAUUUAAGAGUGGAGCUAUUGAUGAUAAUAUUCUUUACCCCAUCAAUG
rnacentral:misc_RNA from 1 species